UGCUAGACUGUUCACAGGUUAUAAGGUCACAUUGUGCCAUUGGUGAACGGAAAAGCUGCCUCUGAUGAAGAUUCUUCGACAGCCGAGCCUGCUCUCCGGACUGAUACAGAACUAGACAUGGAUGGAGGUCUUUAUUGCUGAUUUAAUCCAUCCAAGGCUGAUGGGGGUGUAAUGGAGGUGGGAAAGCAAAGAUAACAGCGUUUUGUUGGUUAUUUUUCACCUUCACCUCCAAUGGCCUGUUCACUGGCAUGACAGCUCAGUUACUAUUCAUCGGAUUGAACAUGAUGCAGAAAUUGAGCCAACCACCCUCGGGGAGAAAAGCAGUGUUUAUGGGUGUUGAUGUGAACGUCUGAGACAGAACCUUGGAACAAUACAUCAACAAAAGGGCCUGGGAGUUUUCCGGGAGAAACAACAAAACCAGACGGCGCUGGGAGAUCACCCUACCAGAAGAACGGGAGUGUGGGCAGGUAUGCAAUAAAUUCAUUUUUAAAUCAAUAGUUUGUAUCAAAUUAUGGAUUUAUUUAGCAAGUAGCCGUGUGAUAAGCAGGACAAUGUAUAGCAAGCGGAUCAUUAUUGCUAAAUGAACCCCUAAUAUUACCCUGUCUGGGUUUAUUUCUCAAUAAGGACCCUCUCACUGUAAAUGAUCCUUACUUAGAUCUAAUAGACACACUUGAAAUACAUUGAGAGCACUGGAAUGCAGAACAGGAAAUGAUCUAAGGGGGACUGCAGUAUGGGCAUGCAAGGGAACAACAUGCAAACAUACAGUAGUAAUAAAGAAAAACCCUUCCACUCAAUGCUGUGUCUGCCCUGGCUCUGGAUUUCAUUUUAAAAAGCGUCUGGUAAUUCUUAUCUCAUAAAUGACAUGUCAGGCAUGGAUAGCCAUCAUUCACUGGUCUCUUAAAAUUAAGACAGUUUGGACAUUGCCUUUAAAAGAUAUUGAGUCGUGUGGUGCAGUCUGUGAAAAAAAUUACUGAGCGCUAAAUUUUCCUUGGGGUCAUGGAAAUCUGGUGCAGGAUGAAACAAUGUCCUUCACAUAAAACAUAACUGGCAGAUUCAUUGUCCCUCUGUCUCUGUAGACUGGGCAGGGUGUCUCUAUGUCCAAUUGCUUUCCACACCAUACAUUAUUUCUAUUCUUUCUUGCUUUUUACUUCUCUGUCAUCAUGUCUUCAACCUUACUAUUGAGUAUUUAAUGUAUUUAAUGUAUGCAGCUUUUCUGCUACAUGGAUAAAAAAAUGUUGAUCCAUCACACACUUGACUAGGGACCCUCCGUAAUGUAUUUCGGAGACAAGUGGCUGCAGGAACCUACUGCAGCAAAGUGGUAGGAUGGAUGGAGGUAUUGUUGGUCUGGCCCCACUGUGAAACUCUAUAUGGCUGUACAGAGAGCUUUAGAGUCCCAAACUCCCUAUCGGAGCAGUCUGUGGCAGCAAGGCAUGGUGUGUUACUUUCUUUAACAGGCCUGUAAACGUUCUGACAGUCUUUAUGGCACAGUGACAGACUCGUUAUUGCAGAGAGGGAGUGAUACAGAGGCCGAAACACUCAGUCAAAAUCUCAUCUGUUGGAAUAACUGCACCAUUAGCCGUUUAUGCUUUGUGGUGUCACAUCAAAGUUAUGAAAAAUCCACUAAAGCCAGAUGGUUAUGUGCUGAUUCCAUUGUUUUUCUUCUAAUUAUAUCCCUUGAUCAAAGCGACUUUCAGCCCAGUAUAUAUUCAUGAGCAAGCAUUCGUACUUCAGAGUCCGCCCAUCCAUACAUCCAUCCAUACGUAAUCAUGCAACUAUAAAGAGGACAAACAAAAAAGAGCAUCACAUU